rnacentral:rRNA from 1 species
GACGUAGGGCGCGAGCGUUUGUCCGGAUUUAUUGGGCGUAAAGAGCUCGUAGGCGGCUUGUCGCGCGAUCGUGAAAACUUCGGUGGCACUCAAACUACAAGCUGGCGGUCGAUACGGGCAGGCUGGAGUUCGGUGAGGGGAGACCUGGAAUUCCUGGUGUAGCGGUGAAAUGCGCGAGAUAUCAGGAGGAACACCGGUGGCGAAGGCGGGUCUCCUGGGCCGAUAACUGACGCUGGAGGAGCGGAAAGCGUGGGGAGCGAAC